rnacentral:rRNA from 1 species
UACGGGGGGAGCAAGCGUUGUUCGGAAUUACUGGGCGUAAAGGGCGCGUAGGCGGCCCUCUAAGUCCCGUGUGAAAGCCCCCGGCUCAACCGGGGAACUGCACGGGAAACUGGAAGGCUUGAGUUCGGGAGAGGGAAGCGGAAUUCCAGGUGUAGCGGUGAAAUGCGUAGAUAUCUGGAGGAACACCGGUGGCGAAGGCGG